rnacentral:rRNA from 1 species
AGUUUGAUCCUGGCUCAGGAUGAACGCUAGCGGCAGGCUUAAUACAUGCAAGUCGAGGGGCAGCAGGGUGUAGCAAUACAUUGCUGGCGACCGGCAAACGGGUGCGGAACACGUACACAACCUUCCUUUAAGUGGGGGAUAGCCCAGAGAAAUUUGGAUUAAUACCCCGUAAGAUUACGAGAUGGCAUCAUUUAGUAAUUAAAGCUCCGGCGCUUGAAGAUGGGUGUGCGGCUGAUUAGGUAGUUGGUGCGGGUAACGGCCCACCAAGCCAUCGAUCAGUAACUGGUGUGAGAGCACGACCAGUCACACGGGCACUGAGACACGGGCCCGACUCCUACGGGAGGCAGCAGUAAGGAAUAUUGGUCAAUGGACGCAAGUCUGAACCAGCCAUGCCGCGUGGAGGAUGAAGGUCCUCUGGAUUGUAAACUUCUUUUAUCUGGGAAGAAAUGCAAUUUUUCUAAAUUGUUUGACGGUACCAGAAGAAUAAGCACCGGCUAACUCCGUGCCAGCAGCCGCGGUAAUACGGAGGGUGCAAGCGUUAUCCGGAUUCACUGGGUUUAAAGGGUGCGUAGGUGGGCAGGUAAGUCAGUGGUGAAAUCUCCGGGCUUAACCCGGAAACUGCCAUUGAUACUAUCUGUCUUGAAUACCGUGGAGGUGAGC